CAGUCUUUGGUUUACAAGACCAAUGCUUUAUUAGUUAAGCUACUAGAGU
rnacentral:tRNA from 1 species